CGGGACGGGUGAGUAAUGUCGUAGGAAUGCCGAUGGAGGGGGAUAACUACUGGAAACGGUAGCUAAUACCGCAUAACGUCGCAAGACCAAAGAGGGGGACCUUCGGGCCUCUUGCCAUCGGAUGUGCCCAGAUGGGAUUAGCUAGUAGGUGGGGUAACGGCUCACCUAGGCGACGAUCCCUAGCUGGUCUGAGAGGAUGACCAGCCACACUGGAACUGAGACACGGUCCAG
rnacentral:rRNA from 1 species